rnacentral:rRNA from 1 species
GGACUACCAGGGGUUUCUAAUCCCGUUUGCUCCCCACGCCUUCGCGCAUCAGCGUCAGAACCGGUCCAGCGAGCCGCCUUCGCCACUGGUGUUCCUCCCAAUAUCUACGCAUUUCACCGCUACACUGGGAAUUCCACUCGCCUCUCCCGGCCUCAAGCAACGCAGUUUGGGCGGCAAUUCCUCGGUUAAGCCGAGGGAUUUCACCAUCCACUUGCGAAGCCGCCUACGCGCCCUUUACGCCCAAUAAUUCCGAAUAACGCUUGCCCCCUCUGUAUUACCGCGGCGGCUGGCAC